GAGCGACCCCAGGUCAGGCG
rnacentral:rRNA from 1 species